UUACGGCCAUAUCAUGUUGGAACACCACAUCUCGAAAGAUCACGUAAGUUAACCAACGUCGAGCCUGGUCAGUAGCUAAAUGGGUGACUGCUUGGGAAUAUUAGGUGCUGUGU